rnacentral:rRNA from 1 species
GACGAACGCUGGCGGCGUGCUUAACACAUGCAAGUCGAACGGAAAGGCCCUGCUUUUGUGGGGUGCUCGAGUGGCGAACGGGUGAGUAAAACGUGAGUAACCUGCCCUUGAAUUUGGGAUAACUUCAGGAAACUGGGGCUAAUACCGGAUAGGAGCUCCUGCUGCAUGGUGGGGGUUGGAAAGUUUCGGCGGUUGGGGAUGGACUCGCGGCUUAUCAGCUUGUUGGUGGGGUAGUGGCUUACCAAGGCUUUGAAGGGUAGCCGGCCUGAGAGGGUGACCGGCCACAUUGGGACUGAGAUACGGCCCAGACGCCUACGGGAGGCAGCAGGGGGGAAUAUUACACAAUGGGCGGAAGCCUGAUGCAGCAACGCCGCGUGCGGGAUGACGGCCUUCGGGUUGUAAACCGCUUUCGCCUGUGACGAAGCGUGAGUGACGGUAAUGGGUAAAGAAGCACCGGCUAACUACGUG